ACCUGGGACCCGGGGAUCAGAAGGGCCCAAAACGCCCUGGCCCCGCUUUCUGGCCCCGCGCUCCUGUGAUUUAGAGAGAUGAAGUGAGUGUAAGAAAGAGAAACAGAAAGAAAGAUUGUAAGAAAGGGAGGAAGGAAAUAGAGUGAGAAAGAAAAAAAUGGUGAAAAGGCUAGAAAGAGAGUGAGAAAUAGAGGUAAGAAGAAAGAGAGAAGCUGAGAGUGAGAUGGCAAGAGGGAGAAAUAGAGAGGUUAAGAAUGAAAUAGGAAGAGAGAAAGAGCAUAUGUAAUGCCUCUUGUCGUCCCAUCUUUUGUUCUUUUUUAAUUAAACAGGAAAGUAACUACUUAGCCACCGACUGUCCACAAACAGUUGCAUUAAUUUCUUUAGGCCAUAUUCGCUAGACCAAUAAGUUCCUUGCAUUGAUUAUGUUGCUGAGCAUUACGGCUGUAUAGCGUUAGGGCAAACCUGGAUUAACGCACAGGUCAUGUUGGAAAAGCACCCGAUGAGCCAUAUACUGUAAAUAUAUUCAUCACAAAAAACUUUUAAGUGAAAUGUUCGCAUGCUGAAAUUCCCAAAACACAGGAAGUGGAAUUGAUCAGCCCUAACGUUAACAUCAGCCUGCUCUCCAUCAAGGUGUAUCAGCACAAAUCUUUGACAACUGCUACAGCCCUGUAUAUGUCUGCUGUACUUCAGACAGCAUGUACUCACCACUGGGCAGAUGGCUUAAGAUUCAAACCUUCUCUCAAAGAGCCUAAUUUAUACUCUUCAGUGUAGUGACAACCAUAUAAGUUCACUGUGAGGAAUUGAGAUUGAUGUUAAUAGUGUUAAAAAUAA